UUCAGCCUAUGUUGUACCGUUUAUCUGCACUGCCAUAAGCGAGGUAUUUUUGUCAACCAAUUCUGUUGACCCACACGUGUGGGUUUUCUUGUGAAGGAGGCUAUACCAAAAGUAAGUACAAAAUCACGUGUCGUGCUACAACAUCUUGUAAGGAUCUUAUCUUAUGUGUCAAAACGAGUAACAGCCAUGUCUAAUGCUCAGGAAAAAACAGUGAAUAAAAGGAAACGGAGCAAAAUUUCUGUUGAGCGGCAAAUGUACGCAAGAAAAGUGAGAGGUCUAUCCGACCGGGCAUGUAUAUUUAACUUUUUUAGUAGGUACUUGGGUCUUGGGCCUAAUAUUCGUGGGGGCGGGGCCCAGGGGGAAGGGUUUGCUGAAAAGGUGACUGUUUUAAUUUUUUUCGAAAAUCUGAUGCUAGAUUGUUUUGAUUUGUUCUUAAAUUGAUAAGGUAAUAGGGUGUAAUCUCUUUAAAAAAUAAUCGUAUCUAACCAUAUUUAUAUCUUCUCAUCAAAAUGUUAUUUGGGAAGUCUGAAAAUGUUGGAGAUUUUCAAAAUUAUUGUCUCAUAAGUUGUUCUUUGUCAAAUUCCUCUCCCACCCUAAGUCAGGCACACGAGGACAUUUCAAAGAACUUUAGAGGAUGUCUCAUAUACAUAUGGGUUCUUAUUAUGGAAUCUUAUUAUGGAAGAACAUCCUCUGUGGUCUCACAUGGAAGAACACACAUUUCUGCUGUCAUAUGUGACUCACCAUACUGUCAUAUGUGACUCACCAUACUGUUAGGGUCAACCAAGGGUGGGGUCUAUGUAAAUUGCACACUGGAUAUAAGCUAGAUGGUGAAUGAUGAAAAUGUGCACAAGGUUUCAUAGCCAAAUGCUUAUGCGCAAACAAACAAGCUGCUUGAUAAGAAUUGUUAUGAAAACAAGCAGAUUGUAUGUUGUAUUAAGCAUUUACUUCCAUCAAUUUGCUUGCAUUAUCGUUAAAAAACUGCAGGCCCCACAACAGAAAAUAAUGAUCAUUUAAGAGUCAUGCAUAUGCACUCUGCCAAAGACCAGGAACAAACCUAUUUCAACUUAUAUCCCAAAACUUUACUUUGUCUUUGUUUUGCAACUGUAUGCCGAGAAAAUUUUGAAGUCCACAUUUCAGCAAUUUCUUACCAAGGUUAUCAAUAAUGAAGAUGAGAAAGAAUCAUGAAAUACUCAAACUAAUGUUUUUAUUUAUGCAGUAGUUGGAAACUUUAGGCCACCCCUGCAUUUUUGAAGAAAAAUGACCAUGCCAACAGUCAAUGAAAGCUGCUAGUAAAUAGACAUAGCCAUUGCAUCCAUAGAUUCUUGUUUGCUUGUAAUGUUAAUACUAUACUUUGUUAUUUGGUAGGUUUAGUUUCAAGCAAUAAUCACACUUUUAUUAAAACUAUUGAAUUUUCAGAUUGAUUCAUGGAUCAAUGACAAAAGUGACUCACCACCACCAAUUUUGUUUUUAUAUUUGCUCAAUGGACAAGUUAAUAUGAAAGGUAAAAUAAAGUAAAAAGAUUUCAUUCUUUGUUCUAGGAAGGAGACUGCACAGAGCUUGCUGUCUAUACUAACUUGACUUAAAGAACAUAAAUUUACAUUUCUACCAAUUCCAAAGUACCCUUUUGAAACUUAAUUUUAAUUCAAGUGGAUUGGAAUAUGUUUGGAAGAAAGGUGGACUCCUUAAAGAGUAAAAAUUCUGAGGAAUUAAAAUCAAAGCAAUUUUCCAAUUAAGGAUAAUGAUUAAAAUCAGAAUUAUGACAUUAUUUUUACGACUUUUAUGCUAUUGGUGCAUUUUAUUUUCAGAAUUUAAUUAAAAGUUAUAGUUACUACCACAAUGAACAUUCUUGAUGUGAUUCGGUCCGUAGUCUCUAGUUCAUUGCAAGUUUAUUGAACAACAACAAGAGCAACAAUAACAAAUAAGACAAUAAAAAUCAGGGUAGAAGUGUAACUGUAAGAUAACAAAUGUGACGUUUUUGAAAUUUUAGGAAGAUAUCAUGCAAUAUUGUGAGCUUGAAUUUAUCUUGUGUCUUUUAAAGGUGCAUGCUUUUUAUAACAAGGAUAUUCAGAAUGUUUCACAGUUUUUGUCUUUUUUGUCUCAUGCUGCUUUUGCUUAUGCCAAUGUCUUGAAUUUAUUUUGGACACUGUUGACAAUUUUUAUAUUCCGCUUGUGUUGUAAGGCCUGUAAAGGUGCACAAUUGUCACCGGCCACGCAUUUGAAAAUUUCGGCUGCUUUAGCUGAAGUGAUAAAGAUAUUGAAAAAAUUCUUUAGGACACCCAGAGCUAGUUCGGAAACUGGACGAAGCGGGAGUAAAAGAACUUGUGGACAGUUUUUUGCGUGACUCUGAAAAGACACAUGUCACCGGCACCAAAUUAAAAAAAAUCGAAAACAUUGAAGAGGACACUUUUGAUGAUUUUCUUGCUAAAAAGAAAAUCCCUAAUGCCUACCUGCGCAAUAUCAUCGUGAAUAUGACGUUAGGUAACAAUGUCGGACAGAAAGGCAUCUGGGAAAGUGAAGGCUUGAAACCAAAAUGGUGGCCAGAAAACGUCGCAUUCACUUCUCCUAAUUUCCGCGAGAGAGAUGGCAAAACUGUUAUGUCUUCCAAAGAUCUUUUGAUGGUGGGGGAUUGCCUACGAAACCAUCUUAUAAGUAUGGGUUUUAAUCCUGAAAAGAAGGAAAGGAAGGAGUCCAACAAAGAUGAGGAGACCCAUAUGCCUGAUGGUGUUAACAAGCCAGUCCCUCCCAAUGAUAAUUUUUCCAGCGAUUGUCAGGGUUCUGAGCCUGAACUUCAAAACCUUGGAUCGAGCAGAAUGCCACCCAAUUGCUCUUCUGCGCAAAGACCAGCUUUGAAAACACUGUCUGCACGUUGUAAGGGUCAUUUGCAAAGACUACACACCUUGAUAGGAUCAUGGGCUGAAUUCAAAGAGACAGCAGCUGAAAUAAAGGAGGAUGUUUUCGAUGAGCUGAUUGGGGUAAUUUUAGGAAUUGGUGAACAGGCCUACUUCAAAGACCUAAAGGAUAAGUCGAUGGAAGCCAGGUUGCAGAAUAAAGUCCCAGAUGGAUUGAUCCCAGGUGUGGCAAACGGAGACGGUAAUUGCCUAUUCAACUCGACGGCUAGGCUUUUAUCCCUGGACGAGUGUAUGGCACCUCUGAUAAGACUUGGCUCUGUGUUGUUUGCAGUGGAUCAUUACGAUCAUCUUUUUGAUGGAUUCGAAAUAAAACUGUCAAAUAUUGAUAUGGCAUCAGCAUUUCUCAGCCAAAAUUGCAGUAGCUUUACGUACGAAAGACGUCCAAAAAACAGCCCAUCUAUAGACGAGCUUCUUCACCAUGUCAUUUCUCUCGAGAUAAUGAUAACAUCAAUCAAUGGUGAAUUUUCAGGGCCCUUGCAAGUGCAUUUCAUUUCUGGGCUUAUUAACCGCCCAAUCAACAUGGACUGCGAGUUUUCAAAUCGCUUUUGCUACGCUGGCAGAGUCAAUCCAUGUCCUUGUUCGGAGCAACGAACAUACGGGAGCUCUCUGAACAUAAUGUGGACAAACUUUGCAGAUGAUGGAGAGGACAGGAUAAACCAUGUUAUUCCGGUCUACCACGUUAGAGGCUCUCGAAUGAAUAUUAACUUGUCAGUGCCAGAAUUCAAGUUGGUGAAUGAGGAAGAGCACUGUAUGGCAGACAAAGUUUUGAAAUGCAUUCAAGAGAAGAGUGCUCCAAUCUCUUGGAUUCAAUGCACUCUGUGUAGAGCUUGGUACCACAUGGUUUGCUGUGGCAUGGGUGACAAGAAUCGGGCAAAAUUUGUUUGCUGCUCGAAUGGCGUUUACUCCAGCCUUUUCACGUGGCCGAACUUUUUCGCCUCCGGACGACGACAAAAAUUGGAGCACCAAAAAGGAGUCGACAUCAAUGUUCAAGACAUUGUAGACACAUUGCGUGGUGGGCUUUCCUCGAGGUCUAUAGAGCUUUACAUCAGAGAUUGCUGGCAUUGGAUUCUGGUUGUUGCAAAUUUGGAAAAUGACUGGUAAAAUGCAUUCGAAUUCUACCUCUGUUCUAAAUACUGAUGUCAAAUUUCAAGAAAAAUUAAUGGAUAUUCAGUUUUUAUUGGCCAUCUUGUCAGAAUUAGGAGCUAUUUAACUAAGCAAAUCUUCCUUAGGUUGGUAGUCUUGGAUUCAGCUCCCAACGCCACAGGUCACGCACUGACGCUCAAAAUAGAAGAGAAGUUUCUUCGCUAUCUAAAAGCCCUGUAUGCGAAUGCUGGCUCAAAGAAUCGCCAAAUCCGGGUUCUUCGAGGAGAGGUACCAAGACAAAAUGGAGGCAUUGACUGUGGCCCAAUGGUCCUCAGCUUUAUUCGAAAAGUUGUUGAAAAUGCAAGUAUAAUUGUUUACAUCAAUUCUUUUUUAACUGGUUGCUUGGAGCAGCAACAUUGCGACCUUGAAAUGCUUUUAAACAGAUAAAUUCAAAGUAGUUUAAGAAUCCGUUUUCCUCACUAGGACCGCUAUCAUCGAAAUUUGAAUCAUUUUACAAAGAGACCAUACAAAAAGGC